GGCUUGUGGCUCAGUGGCAGAGCGCUUGCCUAGCAUGUGUGAGGCACUGGGUUUGAUCCUCAGCACCA
rnacentral:tRNA from 1 species